rnacentral:rRNA from 1 species
AAACCCAAAAGAUCGAAUGGGGAGAUUCAUCGCAAGCGUGGCUGGCUUCCGUGCGGUUCGCGAUGGCCGGCACCUCGGUCUCGCGUCACGCGUCCGCUGUGGUAUGCCCGGCUACGUCGGCAUGCACUUCUCCCCUAGUAGGGCGUCGCGACCCUUUGGUAUCGGACCGAUGGCCGUUUGGUCGCCUGUCUCGUUGCGUUCACGCGUGCACGUGGCAGACCGAAAUGGUCGAGCGUCCGGCUGCCCGGCGGUAUAGAACGCUUAAGAUUGGUAAUGAGCCGCAUUAAGUGCGUUCAGGCUCGUCGGCAGGCUCGUCUCGCCCGGAUUCACGGACCUAGCGCCGUUGCCGGGUGCUUGGCGCGGCCGUUAGUAGACGAUGUCUUCGGACUGGCUCUGAAAUUUGAAAGGAUUACCAAUCGGCGACGCUACUGCUUUGGGUACUUUCAGGACCCGUCUUGAAACACGGA